AGAGUUGAUCCUAGCUUAGGACGAACGCUGGCGGCGUGCCUAACACGAUGCAAGUCGAGCGAGGAGAUUCCUCGGGAUGAUCCUAGCGGCGGACGGGUGAGUAACACGUGGGCAACCUGCCUCAUAGAGAGGAAUAGCCUUCCGAAAGGGAGAUUAAUACCUCAUAACAUUGCAGUUUCGCAUGGAACAGCAAUUAAAGGAGUAAUCCGCUAUGAGAUGGGCCCGCGGCGCAUUAGCUAGUUGGUGAGGUAACGGCUCACCAAGGCGACGAUGCGUAGCCGACCUGAGAGGGUGAUCGGCCACAUUGGGACUGAGACACGGCCCAGACUCCUACGGGAGGCAGCAGUGGGGAAUAUUGCACAAUGGGGGAAACCCUGAUGCCAGCAACGCCGCGUGAGUGAUGACGGCCUUCGGGUUGUAAAGCUCUGUCUUCAGGGACGAUAAUGACGGUACCUGAGGAGGAAGCCACGGCUAACUACGUGCCAGCCGCGGC
rnacentral:rRNA from 1 species